GACCCAAAAUGGGAAGAUAUAGUCCGACCUGCAUGGCGACAUGCAGAAUACGGCAGAAAUGUCCGUAUCUGUGCGAUUAAGGCACAAGCAACAAAUGUGAGCGUAAUCCCUUGCCGGGUAAGUUCCGGCCCGCAUGAAUGGCUUAAUAAGUGGAGAACUGUCUCAACGAGGAGCCCGGUGAAAAUGCAGUACCUGUGAAGAUGCAGGUUACUUGCGGCUAGACGGAAAGACCCCGGAAGCUUUACUGUAGUUAGAUAUUGAAUUUAGGUUUCUAAUGCGUAGUGUAGUGGGUAGUCUUUGAAGCAUCACUCUCGGGUGGUGUGGAGACGCCGAUGAAACACCCAUCUUUAGUGGCCUAUGUUCUAACCCGCGCAAGCGGGGACAGUGUUUAACGGGCAGUUUAAGUGGGGCACUUGCCUUAACUAUUACAAAUUGAACGCAUUUGUAAUGGGGCCGUUUUAAAGCGAUUUAAAACGUAAACUCGACUAAUAUGCUGGAACCUCCGAGUAUCCAAAAGUACUCAACUUUGUUAGAAUAAAGUAAGUGAAAAUCUUUUGGUGCGGACAAUCAGCAGGGAAUUAUUUAAUCCUUAAAUAAACCCUCAACGACUGCACGUCGGGCUCCUGAUAAAAAUCAGGAUGGUGAUACAGUCUGAACUUUAUGGCGACAUAAAGAUUCGGUAAUGUUAAUUUUUAAAACCGUGGUUAGGUUUUAAUCGUGCCAAUUAACUAACCCGAAACUUAAACUCUAAUCUAUGCGAAGUAGAAUAAUAGAGGAGUAUAAAAGCAAGCUUUUUUUAAGCGACCGACAGAAGGAAAUUCUAGUUGGAGCAAUUUUGGGAGACGGGCAUUUAGAAAAAUUGUUUUCUCCCAAGUUGAGUAGGCUAAAAAUCGAACAUAGCUACAAGCAGAGAAAAUAUGUAGAUUGGUUCUACAAAGAAUUCAGAAAUUGGGUUCGAACAAAGCCAAAACAAAAAAUAAAAAAAGCCUGGAAUAAAAUUUAUAUCAACUAUGGAUUUUCUACGUAUGGGCAUAGACUGUUGGGAGCAGUUCAGAAGGAAUUUUAUUCGGAUAGGAAAAAAGUUAUACCAAGUAAUUUAUUUAAGAACGUAACGCCUUUAGUUUUAGCAGUUUGGUAUAUGGACGAUGGCUCGGUAAAAUCAAAUAAACAUAAAGGAGUAUUUCUUAAUACGCAGGGUUUUCGCGGAAAGGAUGUUAAAACUCUGCAGGACGUUCUAAAAAAUAAAUUUGGUGUGGCUAGCUCUACAAGAAAAGAUCAAACUGGGAAGCAAAUCUAUAUAGGAGGAAAAUUUGGCGAGAAAUUCAUACGAAUCAUCGAACCAUUUAUAAUUCUGCCUAUGAGAUAUAAAAUUCCAAGAGUUUUAAGGUUAACAGAAUUGCCUAAAGAGUAAUGGAGGCGUUUAUAAGGUUGGCUAGCUCCGGAUGGAAAUCGGAGCGAUAGGGCAAAGCCAUAUGCCAGCUUUACUGCAAGACGGAUAUGUCGCGCAGUUGGGAAACCAGAACUUAGUGAACCGAUCGUGGUUAUUAGAACCGCGAAAGAUCAUCAACUAAAAGCUACUCCGGGGAUAACAGGCUGGUAGAGCCCGAGCGUCCAUAGCGACGGCUCUGUUCGGCACCUCGAUGUCGGCUCACCACAUCCUGGGGGUGGAGCAGCUCCCAAGGGUUUGGCUGUUCGCCAAUUAAAGUGGUACGCGAGCUGGGUUCAAACCGUUUAGAAGCUAAUAAUUUAUCGGCUUUUAAACAGUUUGAACCCCGAGGAAGACAUACACACACGGCGGCUCUUGAUAGUAAUAUUAAGAGAGAAGCUAACUAAUAUCGGUAAAAUCCCACGCGGACAAUACCGAGGGAAGUCAUAAUGAUGCCCGUAGAGACUAAAUGUUAGCCUCCUUGAAUAAAGGAUGAAGUUAUAGUCCAUACAUUUAGCGAUAAAUGACCAAAUAUGCGUGAGACAGGUUGGUCCUUAUCUACCGCAAGCGUUGAGUUUUGAGAGGCUCUGACCCUAGUACGAGAGGACCGGGUUGGACUAACCUCUGGUGUACCAAUUGUUCCGCCAGGAGCAUUGUUGGGUAGCUAAGUUGGGAAGGGAUAAAUGCUGAAAGCAUCUAAGCAUGAAGCCCACCUCAAGAUAAGAACUCCUAGAUUCCUCAGAGAUGAUGAGGUUGAUAGGCCUCAGGUGUAAGUGGAGCAAUCCAUUCAGCCGAGGGGUACUAAUAUUCAUUGUUCACUUUCU
rnacentral:rRNA from 1 species